rnacentral:misc_RNA from 1 species
UAAUAAGUGUUUUAUGGCACUUUUUAAAUCCAUAUCCACCUUGUGUGCAAUGUCAGUCGAUCUUCUUUCAUGGAGGAUCGACCAAACAUCAACCUUUAUCUUUUAACAUCUUUGUCUGAAAAAUAUUAUGAAUAAACAAUUCAAAAUA